rnacentral:rRNA from 1 species
GACGAACGCUGGCGGCGUGCUUAACACAUGCAAGUCGAGCGGUAAGGCCCUUUCGGGGGUACACGAGCGGCGAACGGGUGAGUAACACGUGGGUGACCUGCCCUCAGCUCUGGGAUAAGCCUGGGAAACCGGGUCUAAUACCGGAUAUGACUCCAUGACGCAUGUUGUGGGGUGGAAAGCCUUGUGCGGCUGAGGAUGGGCCCGCGGCCUAUCAGCUUGUUGGUGGGGUGAUGGCCUACCAAGGCGACGACGGGUAGCCGGCCUGAGAGGGCGACCGGCCACACUGGGGACUGAGACACGGCCCAGACUCCUACGGGAGGCAGCAGUGGGGAAUCUUGCGCAAUGGGCGAAAGCCUGACGCAGCGACGCCGCGUGAGGGAUGACGGCCUGGUGUAA